GUCAGGACCACUUUAAUUCAUUGAUAAUUUACCUAUACUUACGAGGACACUUGUCAAGGGAUAUAGAAAUUGCUGGUUUAUACGCACCAGUCACAGAGAACGUUACAGAAUUAAAAUGAACAAUUAUAAUGUUUUAUAUACAUUCUUCCUUGGUAUCAGAUAUUCUGUAUUUGCAUGACUUGGUACAAAGAAUGAAUCAAUCUUGCCACUUUCUCUCAAUAUGAACUGACAGUGAUAGCAUACACAACUUCAAAAACAAAAUGAAAAUUCCUGUGAAGGCGGUAAUCUGAUUAAGCUGUUGAUAUGCACAUUUCCAGUGUAAUAUGUUUAGUUUCAAGACGCGGAAAGGCGGAUAUGGUUGGUUAAUCUAUUGACAACAAUCACAAGACCCUUCUCAUUUAGCCAUGAUCUUCCAAUUCAUUUACUCCUGCAAGAUGAUAUCAAAAGAUGAGAAAAUUUGGCUAAAGCAUCAAAGUAUGAGGCAUCAUCCACCAGGGGCAAUCAAUCCUCCCUGUUGGUUUUCUUUUCUCAUGGAGUUGCAAGAAGACUAUUAAUAGAGCGAAGCUCAACAUGAACCUGCCACCGGAAAUUAAGUUCUGCAUUUUACUUCAGUAAAACAAAAGAGGCCAUACUAUAAUGGUUCAGUUAUUAGGUACAACAUCACAAGGAACAGUGCUUUCAGUUUCUAAAUGUCCAAAUUAAUGUUACUGCAAGGAAAUUCCCAAACAUGUUCCAGAAGUAUAAUCAUGAUGUA
rnacentral:misc_RNA from 1 species